GACGAACGCUGGCGGCGUGCUUAACGCAUGCAAGUCGAACGGAAAGGCCCUGCUUUUGUGGGGUGCUCGAGUGGCGAACGGGUGAGUAACACGUGAGUAACCUGCCCUUGACUUUGGGAUAACUUCAGGAAACUGGGGCUAAUACCGGAUAGGAGCUCCUGCUGCAUGGUGGGGGUUGGAAAGUUUCGGCGGUUGGGGAUGGACUCGCGGCUUAUCAGCUUGUUGGUGGGGUAGUGGCUUACCAAGGCCUUGACGGGUAGCCGGCCUGAGAGGGUGACCGGCCACAUUGGGACUGAGAUACGGCCCAGACUCCUACGGGAGGCAGCAGUGGGGAAUAUUGCACAAUGGGCGGAAGCCUGAUGCAGCAACGCCGCGUGCGGGAUGACGGCCUUCGGGUUGUAAACCGCUUUCGCCUGUGACGAAGCGUGAGUGACGGUAAUGGGUAAAGAAGCACCGGCUAACUACGUG
rnacentral:rRNA from 1 species